CCUAAAAUUCUAAUUCCUAGUCCGAUAAUUGAAAUAAUGUAUAUUCUUUAUGAAUGAAAACAGUGUUUUUCGAGUCAUUUAUCGUUAGAUAGGACAAGAAAAUAUAAUUCAAUAUACUAAUGAACUACAAAAUCCACGUUCGGAAAUUGUCCCUCAAUAAGAAACGGAUCAGUGUGCAGAGGUACUUUCGGGAUUCUUGUAUUUAUUUUUCACAGACACAUAGAAAUAUAAGUAAUAAGUUACCUAUACGGUGUAAAUGUAAGAAUUUAAUAGACGAAAAUAAUCGCACUUAAAUAAACAAAUUAUUCAAUACUUUUGAAUUA